GUCACCAGUCAUCCCCUCACUCUAGUGACAGAGUGAGGGAGGGUGUGACUAGUGACAGAGUGAGGGGGUGAUUAGUGACAGAGUGAGGGAGGGGUGACUAGUGACAGGGGGGUGACUAGUGACAGGGGGGUGACUAGUGACAGAAUGAGGGAGUGGGUGACUAGUGACAGAGAGAGGGAGAUGGUGACUGUCACUAGUCACCCCAUCCCUCCCUCUAUCACUAGUCACUCCCUCCCUAACUGUCACUAGUCAUCCCCUCACUCUGUCACUGUGUCACCCCAUCCCUCACUCUGUCACUAGUCACCCUCUCCCUCACUCUGUCACUAGAGUGAGUGGGUGACCA